rnacentral:lncRNA from 1 species
UUGAUGUUGCUGUAACAAAAUACCCAGAUGACUUAAGCAGCAAUAAAUCUUUUCCAAUUUAGAAAUCUAUUUAAAAGAGUAGAGUAAGUGUCUCAGAGAAGAUGCCAUUUCUCCUGGAUGGUUAAGCUGCCUGUUCCAGUCGUCUUCCCCAAGGCAUUCUGAGUAUAGCAGAGUAAAGACAAAGAGCCAAAAUUAAAUGCACAGCUGUUUACCAGAGCCAGGGAAGUGUUAUUCUGAGAAGCAAGUCUCAUGGAUCAUUUCAUGGAUAAAACAUCUAUUUCAUUAGCUGCACUGAUGUUUAUGCCAAACUGCACCUGGUAAUUCAUAUUGUCCAUUAACCAUAUACUGAUGAGAUUGAAAAGGCAAAUACUAAAUAUCAUUAUAUUUUGAAACGAUUAUGAUGUAUAUUUUAAGUCUUACAUAUAUAUGUAUAGAGUUGUUAUGUUAUUUAAAAUAUAUAUCAGUCAAAUUUCCAUUUAGCAUAUUUGAUAAAACAUGUUUUAAAAAAUGUUUCUUUAAAGACUCAGGUCUUUAGAAGUGUCUUUGUUGUUUUACAUAAGACUAUGCAUCAGUGGAUACAUUAUGAGUUUAUAUUGUUAUUUUCUAAUUUCCCCUUAGAAAGUGACAACAAUUAGAAGCUGGAGAAUGCCUUGGCCACUGACCAGUAAGUUAUAAUGUCAGAAAUCAAUGUUUAUAAUAAGUGCCAGAAUACCACCAAACACUCUUUAUCACCACUAGUGGAAGCUUUGACUGAAAUUUAUUAUGUAGAUUUCACACAAUACUUGUGAACAAGUCUGGCAUAGGGCUAUGAGGUCUCACUUGCAUCCAUUGGUAAAGUGUGCCACCCUGAAUGCUGUGAGCAUCGUUCUUCAGAAGGGCUGGGUUCUUUUAACUAGGGAAACUUGAGAGAUAGUAUAGCUUCAUUUGUGAGCAUGGCAACAACAUCAGCUUUUUGGCAUGUUGAUUUUGAAUAGUAUCAGAAUACAGAGGAGGUGUGACUUGGGUUCCAAAGCCUUGCCCUAAAGAA